rnacentral:rRNA from 1 species
GACGAACGCUGGCGGCGUGCUUAACACAUGCAAGUCGAACGGAAAGGCCCUGCUUUUGUGGGGUGCUCGAGUGGCGAACGGGGGAGUAACACGUGAGUAACCUGCUCUUGACUUUGGGAUAACUUCAGGAAGCUGGGGCUACUAUCGGAUAGCAGCCCCCGCUGCAUGGAGGGGGUUGGAUAGUCGCGGCGGGUGGGGAUGGACUCGCGGCUGAUCAGCUUGCUGGUGGGGGAGUGGCUGACCAAGGCUUUGAAGGGUAGCCGGCCUGUGAGGGUGGACGGCCACAAUGGGCCUGAGGGACGCCGCAGACUCCAACGGUAGGCAGCAGUGGGGAAUAUGGCACAAUGGGCGCAAGCCUGUGGCAGCAACGCCGCGUGCGUGAUGACGUCCUUCUGGUUGUAAACCGCUUUCGCCUGUGACGAAGCGUGAGUGACGGUAAUGGGUAAAGAAGCACCGGCUAACUACGUG